rnacentral:ncRNA from 1 species
AUGGAUGCGUUGACGAAGAGUAGUACGUCUGAUGUUGGUUUUCAAGAGAGUUUGCGGUCGCUGUGAGCAAAUAACCGAUCAGAUCGAAUGGACUUCUAAGGACUGUUUGUGAACUAGUAGUAGCAAAUGGCGGUACAGGGCCGUUAUCCCUAAGAUAGUUUUACGGAACUAUCUGCUAAGUGGCCGUUUGGCACUUAGGGUGGCACCGCGGAUUAUACGUUCGUCCCUAUU